CAAAAAAAAAAAAAAAAAAAAAGUAAAAUCUUGGGUAAAAUCGAGGUGGUGGCAGGGUUUGCAUCCCUUUCGGUGGCGCGAGGGGACAUCUGAAGACGGAAGAAACCACAAGCCAAGGAAUUCUGGAAGGGGGAUAAAGCAGGGAAACAAAGUCUGGAUCCUCUUUCGCUGCCAAGUUGGCAGCGCAUAUUUGAAAUCUCUGAUACUCGCCGUACGUUAUUUUACUCUUGUGAGUAUACUGGGACCCUAUUGCAUAAUCCAGGAUAAUUUCCUUGAUUUAAGUUGGGCUGGUUUACAAACUUAAUUCCUCUUUUGUCUACUCCCUCUUGUCGUAACAGAACAUGUUUAUGGGUUCUAAGAAUUAGGAUGUUGACAACUUUGGGGGGUGCUCUUAUCUGUCUACUUUGUGGUAGUUUAUUUGAAUGUGAUCCCUAGGAUCCCAGAGGAGCAGGGAACCUGAGAUCAGUUGAAGUGGUGGGGGUUAAGCUGGUCACCAGUACAGGUGACUCGUACCCAUUCCCACUUGCAUCCUACACGACACCUCAUAGGGUUCCAUCUCAUAACUGCCUCCUGGGGUCCAAAGUCUGGCCAUCUCAUCUGCCCAUCACUCUUGGUUAUGUAUCAGAUGACUUUGUGGGUCAUCCCCUCUGCAGAGGAUUUCAGAUGGUCCAGUGAAGUGUAUCACUUUCUUCAUGGCCUGGAAAGGGUUUGUUGGGAUCCAGGACAACUCUGGUCUCCUCUUGCCACUGGGGAUUAAAUCCCUACGCUCUCAGAUUUCUGGGUCUUAAAUGUGCUGAGGGACCAUCUCCCAAUAACUGUUGCCAUGGAUACGGGUUCAGUAUCUUCAUGUGGCGAUAUCUUCAGGCAUUGAUCAUCUUUGAUCUGUGGAUUCCAUUUUCCAUUUCUCUUGGGGUUAUACUCUGUCUGAAAAUGUCUUUUUAGAAGUCAUCAACCUAGGAAAAUCUCUGCCCUAUUGAAGUAUAGUCUAGCCUGAUUGAAUGUAAAUCUGUUAGCUAAGCUGAUAGAUGCUCUUAAUGUUGGGUGUGUCUGCUGGAAAGCACACAGAGAAAGCGCGGGGUGAGUUCAGGAAGGUUGUAGCCAGAUGCUAACUAACUUCUUUUCACUUUGCUGACUUACUGCUCUGGGCGGCUAGGACUCUGUCUGGAACCCUGGAAUGUGAAUCCCUUUCAAUCACUACCCUGCUAACCCUGCUGGGCUGCACUGACUUCAUCCAAUAAGUGUGAGCCAGGGGAUUCUGUGCGCAGAACCCAGGAGGUGAUAAACGGCUCUUGUUUUAAGCCACUAGGUUAGUGCUGACUUAUUAUAGAGCAGUAGAGAACAAAUAGCUUUGCAAAAGCCUUGCUCCAUAUGGCCUUAUCCGGGGUUUUUGGAGCUGAUGGUGCUGUGCAGGGUGAGCUGGGUGGAGCUGCCCUCAUUUCUGCAGCAGCUUGUGGGGUGAAGGAGCGCUCAGCCUCUGCCGCCAUAGUUCUUAAGCAUAUUAGCCUUCUUUUCACCUCCUCACUUUCUCAUCAUAGGAUUUCCUUAUGCAGGACAUGAGCCACUUGAAAGGCCAUGUGACUUUUCUGUGAUACUACGCGAUGUGUUUAAACAUGGGCCACUUGGCCGUCUUCGUGUGUCACUUGUAUAGAUCAGAACUGUCUCUUAGGUGGAUGCAAAUGAUGACUGAUCUCCAAAAUGCACAUCCCUGCACUAGUUACAAGGGAAACAAAAAUGAAGACUAGAAAACCUCCAAGGUGCUCGCAAGCCUCGAAUAUGAUUUUUUUCAUACAGGGAACCCUUUCUUUCCAUUAUUUGAAGGUGUACAUACAUACCUACAGACCUCACAAGGUACUGACUAUGCAUGGUGUUAUAGUUGUAGUCAAAAUAGAUUAAAGUAAAAUCCAGAAUAAAAAUGUUAAGAAGGACAACUUUUAUACUGGGAAAGUCUAAUUCUGGAUAAGAUUCCUUACAUCCUACCUGCUGCGACCGUCUUCUGCAGAGCGAGUGAGUGAAGGAACAGUCUGCCUUCCUACAGGCGUCCCAGGCGAGAUGCUGGGUGGGGUCAGAGUCCUCUCCACAGGGAGUCCUGCUUUGGAGGGUUGUGGGGCAGGUGGGCAGGGGGUAUGGGGAUGAGUAGCCGUGUCUGGUGAGCCGCAAACCAGUCGGCAGCCAGGAGCAUCCCCAGCUUCCUAAGGGACAGCCCUGGUGAAAUUACCAACCUCCCAUUGGGGAUUUUAUGCUGUCAAGGUCAACUCACUUUGGUUGAUGGAAACCUAGGCAUAGGAAGCAAGCCGGCCCCACAGCCAGGACCCUCCCAGUUGGAGAGUCUCAGGCCAGAGUUUGAAGUGUGUGUGCUCAGAUACAGACUACCUCCCUCCUGGCUUAACCUGAAGGAGCCUCAGCAUCUCAGGCACACUUCACAUGGGCCUCGAUGCCGUGCGACUUCUCUACCUGGUCUAUUCCCUGCCAAAGUUACAAUUUCGUUGUUUUAAAAUACAGAUGUUAUCCUCUUUCUGCAGGUGGGAUAUGUCACAAAGCAUGUGUGGGUGAAAUGCCUGUCUCUUAAAAUGGGGGUUCUGAUGCUGUCUCAGCACCAACCACGUGCUUGAGAGGAAACGCCUCCCACCUUAGAAACUGCGGGUACCAUUGGUUGAAUUUGUUUCCCAGAGAAAAAGACCCAACCACUCCUCUGGUCACCAGUCCAGGGAGCAGCCCAGAUCCAUGCUCUGAGGUCGAGAGGAUCCAGUGGCUACCAUGAAGUGUACACAGAACAUGGAUCUCCCACCUCCAUCGCCAAGACUUCAUGGAAGUUAUAUUCUACGCUUUGUCAACUGAAAAAGAACGCCCAAGCUGAGAGAAAAGACAUUGCUUACUGCCAAGAAGAAAGUGUAAAACUGGGAAUAUUUCACUUUUAAAUGCACAAAGAGAAAACUUCUGGGAACAGCAAACAUCCUUGGACCUCUGGGCCUCGGGUGGUCUUCUGUACUCUUGGUUGUGAGGCUCUAAAAGCCAUUCUACCAGAAAAAGUUCCAACCCCAACUCCACAACCUGUGUUUGGCCACAGACAUGACGUGACAAAGAGACGUGCUUAGCCUUACAUCCUUCCUCUGUUAAAAUAAAACAAAUUCUACCUUCCUCAUACCGUGGUAGUGGAAAUUAAACAAGACAACGUUCAUGCAUUCCUCGGAA